UACGAAGGGGGCUAGCGUUGCUCGGAAUUACUGGGCGUAAAGGGCGCGUAGGCGGACAGUUUAGUCAGAGGUGAAAGCCCAGGGCUCAACCCUGGAAUUGCCUUUGAUACUGGCUGUCUUGAGUACGGGAGAGGUGGUGUGGAACUCCGAGUGUAGAGGUGAAAUUCGUAGAUAUUCGGAAGAACACCAGUGGCGAAGGCGACACACUGGCCCGUUACUGACGC
rnacentral:rRNA from 1 species